ensembl:lncRNA
GUGGCCUUUCACUCUGAAUUAGAGGAACAAACUCGUCUCUCUCCUUCACACUUCCAGGCCUGUCAGACGAGGGGGAUGAGGCUGACCCCUCUCGCAUCCAGGCACUUUAACGGAUCAGUGGAGUUGUCAUCUCGCAAGCACAAAAUAUAAAAAAUACAAAAUAGUCUUUCAUGAAAAAUGAGUGAAGCAAUGUGCACCUGGGGUGUGGAUCUAUGAUCUUGACUGAAACCUUUUUUUUCAUUCUCCAGCAUGAUGUCAAUUACUGCUUUGUCCAUCUUUGGAAAAAAUCUGGGCGUGAUGCUGUACAGAGUGGUAGGCCUUGUAAAGCAACAAUCGCCCAUCGAAACUCACAGCUGCUGUCUUGUCUCGCAGCUGUCAAACCAGGAUUUGCCAACAGGUUGCAUUAAGGCUCUAUCAGGAAUGCUUACGAAUCCUCAAAAAAAACUACAAACAGGAUCCCCUUUGAUUCCCUCACAGUUGUUGCUGCAAAUCCAGCCUCCGGGAGAAAUCACACAGCAAACUUUUUCUGACUUUCGUUUGUGUACCACAAUGUACGGCAAAGAAUAACUUAUAACCAGCAUCUGUGUCUGUGUGUAUGUGCUGUUAUUUUUGACAUACAUAUAGAAAAAUACAGUGAUGUUUAGAGGAGAUUAGAGGAGACAGUACAGAUUGUGCAGCGCUUCCAAGAGAGACGCUAAUAGGAUUCAGCAUUUCUCUUAAACCACCCACACCACAGUCUACUGACAGGAUAUCAGACAGACUGGAGAAGCUCAUGGGACAGAUAAAUCUAGGAUUUGUAAAAAGCUAUAUCUCUCUAUUUGACCUCCUUCAAAACAGAACAUUUGUGGCCUUAGGAAGAAUCUGCAUAUCAGAGGCUGGCAUGUUUUCUACAAAUGCAUUUUCUUCAUAGCUUGGUGUUGUGACGGAUUGGUCGGUCAAAAAUGCCUCCAAAAAUGUCUGUAGCCAUGUCCAAGACUAAAUGUCUGUAGCCAUGUCCAAGACUUAAUGGCUGUAGCCAUGUCCAAGACUUAAUGGCGGCUACGACAUCAGGUCCCACUCUUUUCCGGAAAGUUUUGAGGCGAAAUUCUUCCUGAGGGAAACAUUGCCCUUUCAUAAUAACAAAAGCUGCACUCAUCUCCAUGGCAACUCUGAUCCUCACACGGAAACCUCCACCUGCACUGAGGAUACUACUACUUUCAGUAGCAAACAUGUUUGUUAGACACUGUUUAUAGAGAUAAACACGACUAGGUUUAAACUCAUGCUAAGGGAAGUGUUCAGGCUGAGGUGCUGGUUGGUUAGGACUAUGGUGAGGGUUUGUGUGAGAUAAAGGGCAUUAUGAGAUCAGAACAAGUGAUAAUAUAAAAAAAAAAACAUAUUUAUUUUUUGAUAUUUGUUUCUUUGUUUGUUAUUUAUUUAUGGAUAUUUAAUGUUGUUUAGUUGACUAAGACUAUUUGAGGGUUUAACAGGUGAUUUGACAUUUCUUUUAAAUGAUAAAAAAGCUGUUUGUAGAGUGUAAACUAAAAUCUAAAAACUAAAAACUUGAAAAGUAAAAGUAAAAAAUAGAAGAACAUGGUGUGACGAUUCAGUCAUGUCGACACAGGGACGCAAGUGCAGGUAGAAAGUAUUCCGAAGACCAAGCAGGGUACAGACUAAACUCAGGAGAAGUAGACUACCCAAACACUGUCUGAGACUGAGGGCAGACAUCACACAAUCAGUCUCCUGAAUGGAGGUUGGGUGUGCCCUUGAAUAGGGAGCAGGUGCUCGUGGUUCUCCUCAAGGCUCCAGUGAAGUAGGGUGACGGGUUGUGAGUGGAG